UACAGAGGUCCCAAGCGUUGUUCGGAUUUACUGGGCGUAAAGGGUGCGUAGGUGGUGAGGUAAGUCUGAUGUGAAUCUCCGAGCUUAACUCGGAAAUGGCAUUGGAAACUACCUUGCUAGAGGGUUGGAGGGGGACUGGAAUACUUGGUGUAAGCAGUGAAAUGCGUAGAUAUCAAGUGGAACACCAGUGGCGAAGGCGAGUGCCC
rnacentral:rRNA from 1 species